rnacentral:rRNA from 1 species
UCCUCCCUCUUUCUUCGUGCUUAACACAUGCAAGUCGAACGGUGAAGCGCCUUCCUUUUUGGUGGGUGUGGAUGAGUGGCGAACGGGUGAGUAACACGUGAGUAACCUGCCCCCUUCUUCUGGAUAACCGCAUGAAAGUGUGGCUAAUACGGGAUAUUCUGGGUCUGUCGCAUGAUGGGUCUGGGAAAGAUAUUGUUUCGGUGGGGGAUGGGCUCGCGGCCUAUCAGCUUGUUGGUGGGGUGAUGGCCUACCCAGGCGGUGACGGGUAGCCGGCCUGAGAGGGUGGACGGUCACACUGGGACUGAGACACGGCCCAGACUCCUACGGGAGGCAGCAGUGGGGAAUAUUGCACAAUGGGCGCAAGCCUGAUGCAGCGACGCCGCGUGAGGGAUGGAGGCCUUCGGGUUGUGAACCUCUUUCGCCAGUGAAGCAGGCCUGCCUCGUUUGUGGGUGGGUUGACGGUAGCUGGAUAAGAAGCGCCGGCUAACUACGUG